AUUCUGUGAUGAGGACACUUCUGUAAUAAUUGUUUGUACCAUUCCCAUGCCUUAUAUAAAGACUCAUCAUCCAUUUGUUGGAAAGUAGUGAUCUAAUUUCUCAACUU
rfam:Gossypium raimondii Chr08_contig_683, whole genome shotgun sequence.